rnacentral:ncRNA from 1 species
CUCGGCCGUUCACGAUGUGCUUUCGACGAGUCGGGUUGUUUGGGAAUGCAGCCCAAAAUGGGUGGUAAACUCCAUCUAAAGCUAAAUAUUGGCACGAGACCGAUAGCGAACAAGUACCGUGAGGGAAAGAUGAAAAGCACUUUGAAAAGAGAGUUAAAAAGUACGUGAAACCGUUAAAAGGGAAACGAAUGGGGUUAGCAAUGCGUCGUGCGAGAUUCAGCCGGUGGGUGGGCCAGGCGGGCGGUUGGCGGAUCUGAAUGGACCGCUGCCGUUCGGGUUGGUUUCCCGACCGUCGCACUUCUCGCAGGCGCGCGCCAACGUCGGUUAGGGCUGGGUUUCAAAGGCGGUGGAAGAGUAGGUUUGGACUCUCGGGCCCGAACUGUUGCAGUCCUCCGUUUGUCAUGGCCCGGACCUGACCGAGGAGCUCGCGGUGCAUGCCGUUCGGCUAGGGUCCCGUCUUCCCGGUCGGUCGUCGAAUGCGGUGGACUGCGUGCAGUGCGCCGCGACUGCUGCCGGUCGCGAGGGCGGUGAUUUCGUACUAUGCACCCACGACGUUGGCGAUCAUAUGGCCUCAUCCGACCCGUCUUGAAACACGGACCAAGGAGUCUAACAUGUGUGCGAGUCUUUGAGUGAUCGAAACUCCGAGGCGAAAUGAAAGUGAAGGCGACCUCGGUCGCUGAGGUGAGAGCCUUUUACAAAAAUAGGCGCAUCAUUGACCGACCUAUUCUACUCUUAGAAAGGUUUGAGUAAGAGCGCAUCUGUUGGGACCCGAAAGAUGGUGAACUAUGCCUGAAUAGGGUGACGCCAGAGGAAACUCUGGGGAGGCUCG